AGUUUCAUCGGGCUGCCCAAGGAAUCUGACGUCUUUGACCAGGAGCUCAUAAAAGUAGGAAAACCUUGACUGGACCAUGGCAUCAGACAACUUAAAAACCAAGGAAAUGGUCUUUCUGCAAAAAUUAUCAGAAACUCUUGAUAUAAUGGUCAGCUCUAAGAGUGCAUUCAAGGGGGCAUUCAUAGGAAUGGUCUGCUCUGGGGCCGGAGGUCUUAUUGGUGGUCCAGCUGGACUAGUGGCAGGUUUUGCUGCGGGAGGUGUUUUGGGGUAUAUGGUGAAUUUGUCUGUGCCUCUAACUGAGCACCUGAAGAAACAGACACCUGAAUGGCUCCAGAAACUCUGUGCUGACCUCAGGAAACUGCUUGAGGACCUUUUCUGGUCCUCUGUGGACUUCAUGGUUGAGAAAGUUGUGCGAGAUGAAAAGCUGAAAAACAAAACAGUUGAAUUCCUUAAAGAUUUUUUAAAGAAAACAUCAAAUGUGACAGUCAGUCUGUCUGCAGCAUGAAAACAAAAAUGUGAGCAAGAAGCCUGGGCAGACUAAAGCAAUCUUAGGCUUCACAAUUAGUACAACCUUCCUUGAGAUUUUUUUCUAUAUUCAGCUAUUUUGAUCCAAAGCACAUCUUGUUUCACUACUACUUUUAAAAUUGCUACCACUACAAAUGUAUGCUUUAUAAAAUGUAUAAUGUAUAUUAUACCACAGUU
rnacentral:lncRNA from 1 species